ACACGACAGUUUCAUCAUUAGACCAAGAUGCCUCCACGGAAGAGAUCCACACGGCUCACCCAAAAAUUCGAAGAAAUUGACACAAGAUAUGAAGCGCCAAAUGAGGUAUAGACUGAAACAGAACUACAGAAGUACUUCAAUGGGAUAUCUGCAAAUCAAGUGUGGACUACAUCGCCUAUUUCAAGCAUGUCUGACAAUGACUGGAGAAAGUUGGUGGAGAAGUUGUCUACCCCAAAUCACAAGGUGAAGGGAGCCGAGCCGCGCGGGCAUGAAUGGGAGCCGAGCGGGCGUGAAGGGAGCUGUUGGGACCAUGCUUCGUCGCCGUAGGUCCUGCAGGAAGAAACAGCUUCGGCUGAAGCUGUCCGCAUGUGAUGACCGAAGGUUCCUCUCCAUGAAGAUUCAGAAUUACAAACCGACUUAAAAAUAGAAUGACCGUUUAGUCCAUAAAUGUUUGAGUCGUUGUUGUAAACUUUUAUGAGGGACAUGAUUGUAAUUCCUCACAGGCUGUGUCUUGUGCCUAUAAAUAGUGAACAGUACUCCUUUACUAUUCACGAAUUCCUGUAAUUGCAAUCGCGCCAAUCGGGAAUUAAUCUUUGUCAAGGCAGAGGUAUAAAUGUAUUUAGUACUUGAAUACAUUAAAUGGAGAUAAUAUAAAAGUGAUGUUGUUC